GAGUGCGUCGACGCGUAUCACGUUAUCUCGCUCUUCGUAUCUCGUGUAUAUCACGUUUGUUGAUGCUACUCGCCUCUCUCGCGAUUCUUUUACGGGCGGCAAAAGCAAGACACGCCGGCAUCUCGGCAGAAAGUUCCUCACAUACGCGAACGACGUUAAACGGGCUCGUGAUUACGCGUCUUAGGAAAUCUCUAGGGGCAGAAUCGCGGAGGGUCUCUGUGCCUGUGCGCGACACACGGACGGUCGGACGUUGUCAUUUGAAAACGGAAGCCAUCUUGUGGCCGAGGCUCCCAUAUCACACGGGAAAUAAUAGUUCCACAGCUAUUUGUUUCGAUAAAUUGCUUUGUAUCUCACCAAAUACGUCUAGACUAUGCAUGAACCAUUUUAUCACACGUUCACAUAGCCAUGGCUGCGACAAGAAAGUUGCAAGGUGAAAUAGAUCGGUGCCUUAAAAAAGUAACGGAAGGUGUGGAAACCUUUGAAGAUAUUUGGCAAAAAGUUCAUAAUGCCACGAACAGCAAUCAGAAAGAAAAGUACGAGGCUGAUCUCAAAAAGGAAAUCAAGAAACUUCAAAGGUUACGCGAUCAAAUUAAGAGCUGGAUCGCGUCGGGUGAAAUAAAGGAUAAGAGUACGCUUCUGGACUAUCGGAAGUUGAUUGAGACUCAAAUGGAAAGAUUUAAAGUUGUAGAAAGAGAGACAAAAACAAAAGCUUAUUCUAAAGAAGGUUUAGGCGCUGCUCAGAAAUUGGACCCAGCUCAGAAGGAGAAAGAUGAGGUUACUAAUUGGCUUGCCAAUUCCAUAGACGCUCUCAAUCUGCAGAUGGAUACAUUUGAAUCGGAAAUAGAAUCGUUACAAGCGGGAAAGAAGAAAAGGAUAGACAAAGAUAAGCAAGAUAGGGUGGAUGAAUUGAAGGCAAAGCUCGACAAACACCGCUACCAUAUCCGUAAAUUGGAGACAUUAUUACGUAUGCUUGAUAAUAUGUCUGUCGAAGUCAAUACAAUCAAGAGGAUAAAGGACGAUGUUGAGUAUUAUAUCGAAUCUUCGCAAGAUCCUGAUUUUGAGGAAAACGAAUAUAUUUACGAUGAUAUUAUCGGCCUUGAUGAAGUUGAGUUGUCAGGAGUUGGUAUCCCCUCGUCAGCAACAACAGAUAGUAACAACAGCAAUGAAACCGGAGGAACGCCAACCUCAACUAAUUCCUGUACUUCGCCUAUACCAUCGCCGUCGUUGAGCUCCACUAUGCAUAACCAUUCGAGCGAUAGUUCUACAGAUAAUGACAAGAAAACCAAGCCUGUGAAACCAACAGCAGUCAGGCCGCUACUGAAUACGCAAGCGAGCAUUCCAACCACGGGAAGCACUGCCACCAUAAAAUCGAACAUGUUAUCGAGCAGCACUCCAAGCAAAACCAUUCCCAUGACACCUAGCCAUAGCUCGCCUAGUUCUACGAGCAAUCACAUUGCCACGACUAAUGCCGGCAAUUUCGCCACCGUAGCUGCCUCGCACAGCAAUUCGCAAGCCAUCCAUUCUACCUCCAAUAAAACAUCUACUCACAACAGUGAGAAUAAUAUCUUAUCAUCAUCAUCUACGUCCAGCGUUACGUCGAAUGUGCCGCAAACAGUUACGCAACAGCACAAUAAUAAUCCGGCGCCGGCACAGACGACGCACGUACUGCACAGUCAACAGAGUCAGAAUCACAAUAGUGAAACGGAAAUGACUACACCGGUACCGCCAUCUUCGUCGCCGCAGUCGUCGGUCAGCAGUAGAUCCUCGCCGAUGCCCGCAAACUCCUGCUCGCCAGCACCGUCCACUGCCAAUGGUCUCAUCCCUAAGCUUCCUGAUGGAAGCAUGUCCUCUUUAAAAUCCAUUGCCCAACAAGUAAUUGUCCGAGCAGGUCUCGAGAUACCACCUUCCGAGCCGAAUAGAAACAUCUUUGACAGUGCCAAGACGAGCAACAGUAGCAACAACAAUGCCACGUCGGAAGCACACAUUCCUCCGCUGCUUGGGGUCGCGCCCUUGGGGCCUGUACCAUUACAGAAGGAGCACCAGUUGCAGUUCCAAAUGAUGGAAGCCGCCUACUAUCACAUGCCGCAUCCGUCUGACUCGGAAAGAUUACGUUCAUAUUUGCCGAGAAAUACAUGUACCACGCCACCUUAUUAUCAGCAGGUUCAGCUUCCCCAUUCGGAUACUGUGGAGUUCUUCCAACGUCUUUCUACAGAAACUUUGUUUUUCAUAUUUUAUUAUAUGGAGGGGUCUAAGGGGCAGUAUUUAGCAGCAAAGGCUUUGAAGAAACAAAGUUGGAGGUUUCACACCAAGUAUAUGAUGUGGUUCCAGAGGCACGAGGAACCGAAAAUUAUUAAUGAAGAAUACGAGCAGGGCACGUACAUCUAUUUUGACUACGAAAAAUGGGGGCAGAGGAAAAAAGAAGGAUUUACUUUUGAAUACAAGUACUUAGAGGACAGAGAUCUGAAUUAACAGUUCUGUCGCUCGUUGAGUCUUCGAAAUACGCCGUUUCUGUACCGGUAUUGUGUUAUCUGAACUUUAGAAGAUAAUUCUGUUCGGUAUAAAAUCGGUAGAGUCCAACAUAAGAGAAAAAAAAUCAGUUUAUAAAAAGAACAAAUUUGUGCAUAGAAAGCAAUGAAAGCAUUUCAUUAUAUUUCGAUGUCGCGAUGACAAAAUCUUUCUUAAUCCUUUUUUUUCGAUGAAGGAUAGAUCAAACGAAAAAAAAAGAAUGAAAAAAGAUACAAGCAGAAAGAUUGUAUGGGAAAUAAUUAUUGUAAAUGAUACCAAGGAAGCAAAGAGGGAGAUUGGAGAGACAAUGAAGAAAGAAGCAUUGCAGAAACACUUGGAAUGAUUCAGUAUGCUGUGUGAUAACGGGAAGAAUGAAAGAAGAGAGCGUGAGAGAGGGAGAGAAAGGAUGAUAUACUUGCUGGCGACUGACUCUGUAAUACCAGUACAAACAUGCGUGCGGCCCGUCUGCUGUCUGGCGGAGGGCGCUCAUGCUAUGGGACGAACGUGCUUUCCUUUGUCUGCAUUUCUUCUUGUAAACGGGAUUUCUGCUUAUGUGAUAAAACUCAAAUAGAAGCGUGCAAGAGAAAGAAGACCUUCGUUUGUUAUAUAAUAACAAAUUUUGUCUUCAAUGCUUCUAAUUAAUUUUCCUUAACGCGUUCACUACAAAUGAUGAAGAAAUUGUGAUUUUACUUAAUAAUAUAUUUUAUUGUGAUUAUUUGAGUGAUAUUUAAAUACCAUACUGCUUUGUGCAAAGACUUCAAGUCGUUAAAAUACAGUACUAAUUUCUUCAGUA
rnacentral:misc_RNA from 1 species